GUUUGAACUCCAGCACACGUUUCAGGGUUUGCAUCUGGAAUUUUGCGAUGUACAGGAAUAACAGAGGAAAUCAGUAUCCCUCCGGCUGUCAUCCUCAGCCAACGGCAGGAGGACAAUAUCCCCAAUGUCCACCAGGCGUUGCCCCACCCCAAACCUGCCCUCCUCAGCCAACGGCAGGAGGACAAUAUCCCCAAUGUCCA